rnacentral:rRNA from 1 species
UACGUAGGGGGCGAGCGUUGUCCGGAGUUACUGGGCGUAAAGGGCACGCAGGCGGUGCGGCGCGUUUCGCGUGACAGCGGAGGGCUUAACUCUCCGAGGAUGCGAAAGACGGCGGCACUUGAGGGCCAGAGAGGGACACGGAAUUCCGGGUGGAGUGGUGAAAUGCGUAGAUAUCGUAAGGAAGACCAGUGGCGAAGGCGGGUCUCUGGACAGUUCCUGACGCUGAGGCACGAAGGUCAGGGGAGCAAACGGG